UACGUAGGUGGCAAGCGUUGUCCGGAAUUAUUGGGCGUAAAGCGCGCGCAGGCGGUCCUUUAAGUCUGAUGUGAAAGCCCACGGCUCAACCGUGGAGGGUCAUUGGAAACUGGGGGACUUGAGUGCAGAAGAGGAAAGCGGAAUUCCACGUGUAGCGGUGAAAUGCGUAGAGAUGUGGAGGAACACCAGUGGCGAAGGCGGCUUCUGGUCUGUAACUGACGCUGAGGAGCGAAAGCAUGGGGAGCGAACAGG
rnacentral:rRNA from 1 species